rnacentral:lncRNA from 1 species
ACUGAUUUAUCAAUGUGCCAGUGGAUGACCACUCGUUUGGUAUCUGCAUCAGUGGAUGGCACGGUUCGUGAGAAUUUUGCUUUAUUUUGUAGUUUUAGUUGUUUAUGCAAUGUCCUUUUUCAGUUUUUCUUUAAAGAAAGAACUGUUUGAUAAAGGUAUCCUUGGCAUAACCUUUAUUUAAUGGUUCAUAUCACUUAACAUGAUUUUUGUUGUGAAAAUGAUAACCUAACCAAAAAACUCUGACCACUACUUGUUAUUAGCUGAACUUUUGGAGUUGAGUUGUUUGUAUUUGUUGUUGAGUGG